CUUGCUUUCUUUGCUGGCGACCGGCGCACGGGUGAGUAACACGUAUCCAACCUGCCCUUUACUCGGGGAUAGCCUUUCGAAAGAAGGAUUAAUACCCGAUAGCAUAAUGAUUCCGCAUGGUUUCAUUAUUAAAGGAUUCCGGUAAAGGAUGGGGAUGCGUUCCAUUAGGUUGUUGGUGAGGUAACGGCCCACCAAGCCUUCGAUGGAUAGGGGUUCUGAGAGGAAGGUCCCCCACAUUGGAACUGAGACACGGUCCAA
rnacentral:rRNA from 1 species